GACAGCCUUUCGUGUGCGAUUCUGUGGAGUUUGAGGAGCUUAACACCUUCAUGCUUUGCAUAUUCGUGCUCUUGGGUGUACUUGCCCGUGUGGUUGGUUAACAUCAAUUUCGGGCACCAUAAAAUGACUGGAGGAAUGUAGCUUUGAUCUUGUAUUGAAGUGUUAUAGCCUUCGGUAGAUGUGGUGAUCGAGAUUGAGGAUUGCAACGGAUACCUUUCGGGGCUACCUGUCUGAUCUCUGAUCGUUGCUUUGGUGCUGAAAGCGUGCUUAUAGUUAUCAAAGUCGAUGGUCAAUAGGUUAGAAUGGGUUAAAUUCGUUAAGGAUGUUGACGUAAUGGCUUU
rnacentral:rRNA from 1 species